GCCCCCAUCGUCUAGUGGCCUAGGACAUCUCUCUUUCACGGAGGAAACGGGGAUUCAAAUUCCCCUGGGGGUA
rnacentral:tRNA from 1 species